rnacentral:lncRNA from 1 species
AAACUACAAGCUCUGUGCGUGCUUAAAACUUCCUUUAAGAACUCUGGUGUGUGUUGAAUGGUUUUGCCCACUUAAUAUCAGUCUCCAGUUUGAAUAUCUGAAGUUAAUCAUUGAAAAGUUAAAACUCCCAAUUUGUUUAUUUAGAAUUCAAAGACAAGAACCAACAGCAUAACAACAUUAAGCCAAGCUUCUACUCAGCUGGAGACAAGAGGACCCCAGAUCCUCUUCUUCCCUCUACCGGGGCCGUGCAGAAGAUCCUCCCACUCCCUUGAGACCCAGAUCAAGUGUCACUUCGUUCAAGAAGUCUUCUGCAACCCAUCAGCCUGCAGACAUCUCUCUUCCAUCCUGAAUUCCUGCCUCUCUGCAUGCCUUUAGUGUAGGAGUGCCUGGCACAUAGCCGGUGCUUAAUAAACUCCUCUUGUUUAAAUGAUUCACUAUUUCAUACAGUUAACGUAUCAAAGCUUACAAAUCAUGUUAUUGUGUUUGGGUCCGUCUACAAGCCUUUAUUUGUGGAGUUUGUGGUGCUGAGACCGAGCACUUUUCAUUCCCAUUCCUCAGGGCACAAACGGAACUCCACUCCCUAAUACUCUCCUCCAGCUCCAUUCCUAUUUUCAGUUCCCAAUUGUCUACUUAUGCACUAGAUGGGUCUCUCAUUAUCUUCUGCUUUUCUUUCCCGUAGAGGAUCUUGGAUUAGUUCCUGCUCCAGUUCUCCCAGCCUCCUCAGUUCUUGUAUUUCUGAUUUAUCUGCCAGUGUUUGGCAAGAUCUCUUCUCUGUGGUCAACAAGAAUCAGAACUUGAAAGAGCUCAAGUUGUCCUGCCUUCAUUUUGAUGACUCAUACAUGGACAACGUUUGUGUGGAGCUAAGAAAUCCAAACUGGAAACUGGAAAAACUGACGUAAGUCUAAGUUGGUCCCAUAGGUGGGGUUGCUGCCUAUGUAAGAGUGGGGAAAGUGAGGUAAAAAACUGAAGAAUAUGUGAAGAACAGUCUUAGGAGGAAAAGAAAGGAUAGCUCAGAAUCUAAAUGGUAAGAGAAUGAAAAGAAAAGUGGUGAAAAAGAG